rnacentral:rRNA from 1 species
UACGGAGGGAGCUAGCGUUGUUCGGAAUCACUGGGCUUAAAGCGCGUGUAGGCGGGCCGCCACGUCGGCUGCUGAAAUCCCCCGGCUCAACCGGGGAAUGGGCAUCGAUACGAGCGGCCUUGAGGGGGGUAGGGGGGUCUGGAACUUCCGGUGGAGCGGUGAAAUGCGUUGAGAUCGGAAGGAACGCCCGUGGCGAAAGCGGCUUCCUGGUCCGACACCGACGUUCAGGCACGAAAGCGUGGGGAGCAAACAGG